rnacentral:rRNA from 1 species
UACGUAGGUUGCAAGCGUUGUCCGGAUUUACUGGGUGUAAAGGGCGUGUAGGCGGAGAUGCAAGUCGGGAGUGAAAUCCAUGGGCUCAACCCAUGAACUGCUUUCGAAACUGUAUCCCUUGAGUAUCGGAGAGGCAAGCGGAAUUCCUAGUGUAGCGGUGAAAUGCGUAGAUAUUAGGAGGAACACCAGUGGCGAAGGCGGCUUGCUGGACGACAACUGACGCUGAGGCGCGAAAGCGUGGGGAGCAAACAGG